rnacentral:rRNA from 1 species
CAAUAGCGUAUAUUAAAGUUGUUGCAGUUAAAAAGCUCGUAGUUGGAUUUCUGCUGAGGACGAUCGGUCCGCCCACUGGGUGAGUAUCUGGCUCGGCCUUGGCAUCUUCUUGGAGAACGUUGCUGCACUUGACUGUGUGGCGCGGUAUCCAGGACUUUUACUUUGAGGAAAUUAGAGUGUUUCAAGCAGGCGCACGCCUUGAAUACAUUAGCAUGGAAUAAUGAGAUAGGACCUUGGUUCUAUUUUGUUGGUUUCUAGAGCUGAGGUAAUGAUUAAUAGGGAUAGUUGGGGGCAUUCGUAUUUAACUGUCAGAGGUGAAAUUCUUGGAUUUGUUAAAGGUGGACUACUGCGAAAGCAUUUGCCAAGGAUGUUUUCAUUGA